AUAGCAAUUGCUGUGUGGGGUGGGCAUUGUGCUAAGGGUUUUCCAAGUGUCUGCUCAUUUGCUGUAGUUAGCAGCUCUCCGAGGGACAUGGCGAUCACUUCCAUUUCACAGACAGCGAUCUGGGACUUCCAGAGCAAACCUGCUCUAGGUCAUCAAGCUCAGAAGUCAUAAACCCAAGACUAGAGCCCAAGUCUCAUUCAAACCGAGGUCUGAAUCAGUCAUCUUGGCUUAGCAACUAUGCGUCUACGGCCUGAUCAUGGAAAGGUAACAAAGAAACGAAAGAGGGCAUUGCCCAUCGCUCUCCAAGAUAGGUCCUCAACAAAUGUUCCUUGGAAGAAAGAAUCAACAGACGCAAAUAGUAAAAAGACAUACGGAAAAAUAUUGAUGUCUAUUGGAAAUCAAAGGCAAUGAAAACAACUUUUGAGCAUCAUUUCAAUGCCCUCAACCUCAGCAAAUUAAAAAUAAAUACCGAGUUUCACUCUUGUUGCCCAGGCUGGAGUGCAAUGGUGCGAUCUUGGCUCACCACAACCUCUGCCUCCCAAGUUCAAGCGAUUCUCCUGCCUCAGCCUUCCUGAGUACCUGGCAUUACAGAUCUCAGAAAAGGAAGAGAAGUGUUAUUUAUUGCACACCCCUCCAAUUCUGCAGAAGUGAAUAGUAUACUUAAAAUAAUGAAGCAACACUGUAAAAAUUAUGGGAGGAGAUAUUUUCUACGUACAGUUUUGUACUUAGCCAAUAUCUCCGUCAGUGCGGAUGCAGACAAGGACAUUUGCAGCCAUGCUUAGGUUUAAAGACUUCCUUCCAAAGCAACAUUUGGAAAACAUUUGGAAAGCAUUUGAGGUGAAACUGAGGCACAGGAAGUUGCCAUGAAACAGGGUGCGCAUUGAGGGCACAAGUAAAGGGAAGCCUCCAAGGUACUGCUUUGCAACAGUCCUAGAAACCAUUCUGGAACCCUCUGGGCGAGUGCUCAGGAGAAGAACGUGGUAGAUUUGGGGGAAAUGAAGGCAAGGGGGAUAUCGAAAAGCUGUGGUGAAGUGACAACUUACUGGAUGAACACACAACUAGAAACUUCAGGAAUCACAGAAAACGACUGUAUUCCACAUAUUAAGUAACCAUGUGUAAGUUAGAGAAACAAAUCUGUGGCCUUCAGAAAGAAGAAUAGAGUCCAUUCAGAGCAAGAAUUCAGAUAGUUAAGAAGCAGAAAAUACCUGGAUUAUUGUGAUGAAAGCAAAUGUGCAACUAAGCAACGAGAGAAAAACAAGGAUAAUUCAAAAUUUUAGGGCAAAUAAAUAGCAGUAUGGCAAAGAUGGGUAGUCGUUUACCAAAUCUGUGUUUUUCUUCUUCCUGAGCUCACAGAUGCUUCCAUUUCCUGGCUUUCUUUGCAGUGAAAUGUGGCCUCAUGGCUGAGGUUCAACUAAUGCAGCAGGUGUGCAGGAGAUGUACACGAAUGUGUGUAGGACCCGCCCAUCACAACGCAAGUUCUUCCUUUUCAGCCAGUGGAAUGGAGCAGGCUAGAGACCUUCAGGGAAGCCAGAUGCAGAAGGUGGCCAUCUCCAAAUUACCGCUGCCUAUAAAAAUAUCUGAACCAACUACCCACCAUUGAGACACAUUUUGAAUUUAACAUGCGCAAAGAAUAUUUCUGUUUGAGCCCAUUAAUGCUGCAUUAAUGAAACAAGCAGCACAAGAAUGCCCUGGUCCAAAUGUGAAACAAAAGUAAUUACAACUUUAUUAUGAAUAAUUGAGGCAAAGCCAGCGCUCAUCUGGACUCUGGGUUGAGUAGCAUUAGGGACUGUGAUGUCAGAACCACAGAAGAGGAAGUCUAAUUACAGGCAUACGCUUGGCUCUGUGGUGAGCAAUAUUCACGCACUUACCAAAAUACGAAUGCUUACUGCUUUUCAACUUUUACAAGCAGCCUUUAGAUACAUUAAGAGCAACUUCAUUAUUAUUGUUUAAUAAAUACAGAUGCUAACAUAUUUGAUACUGCAAAGGUUCUAUUGCAAUUGAGAGAAUAAAGAGGCCAAAACUGGAGAGAAAAUUUACUAGAAAGAGUAGAAGCAAGGAUAUUCACAUCUUACUAAAUGGAAAGACAAGAGAUGCUACCAAAAAUUAAAGAAAUACAGCAUAAAGAAUCAACUGUAUUAUUCCAGUUCCUAAAUAUAAUGGAUAGUAACAAGACAUGGGAAACAGAAGUGAUAUAACAUAAUACUCAUAUCAAGCUGUCAAUUGAGAAAGUUCACAAUGGAUAAAGCACAAAGAAUAAUGCAAACACAUUAGAUAAAAGACAAUAAUGACAGAAAACCAGAAAUGGUUAAAUGUUAUUGAUUCUAUGGCAUAAGAAUAUGGAUAUGCUGACGGAAGUUUUCACGGUAAAACUUUCUUUAUUACUAAAUUCUUUAACCAUGUUCAUAUGUUACUUAACUUAAAUGCUAGUAAAGUUGGAAAGAGACCACUCAAACUAUAGCUGACUUGUUACAAUGUCCAAAUCAGAAAUUUAAAUCAGAGGUCAAGUCAAUUUGAGACUUUAUUUUUUCACCCUUAUUACAGAAAUAAUCAUAUUUUCCCUGCCCAUUUCUUAAGGUUCUUUGAGGCACAAGCAGGAUCUUGCAUUUAGGGGCCUCAGCCUAUUCCCAAGGAGACAUCACAUAAAUGUGACUUCUGGAUGCCUUCCCAAGGUGGUUCAUUGGAGUUGCACAGAGGAUGCUACUGCAGGCCACUCUGUGAAGUGCAGCAUACAUAAACAAAUGUCGCUUAUGACAGCUUGUGAUUGGGAACUUCCAGAGUAUGACUUCAGGGAUCUCAGCUCUGCAAUGCUGUUGAGAAUUGUUUUUUUAAGUAAGGUUUGCUAAAACAAAGUGUUCUAUCAUAGAAUAAAUAAAAGCAUGUUAAAAAGGU
ensembl:lncRNA